rnacentral:rRNA from 1 species
CAGUGCGGCGGCUACCAUGCAGUCGAGCGAGAAGCCCGCAAGGGUGAGUAAAGCGGCGCACGGGUGAGUAACACGUGGGUAAUCUGCCCUGAAAUCCGGGAUAACUCUCCGAAAGGGGUGCUAAUACCGGAUAAGACCACGGGAGCCUCGGCUCCUGCGGGAAAAGGUGGCCUCUGUAUACAAGCUAUCGUUUCAGGAUGAGCCCGCGGCCCAUCAGCUAGUUGGCGGGGUAACGGCCCACCAAGGCGACGACGGGUAGCUGGUCUGAGAGGACGAUCAGCCACACUGGAACUGAGACACGGUCCAGACUCCUACGGGAGGCAGCAGUGGGGAAUCUUGCGCAAUGGGCGAAAGCCUGACGCAGCAACGCCGCGUGUGUGAUGAAGGUCUUCGGAUCGUAAAGCACUGUCGGGAGGGACGAAUAAGGGUCCGUCUAACAAGCGGAUCCGAUGACGGUACCUCCAAAGGAAGCACCGGCUAACUCUGUGCCAGCAGCCGCGGUAAUACAGAGGGUGCAAGCGUUGUUCGGAAUUAUUGGGCGUAAAGCGCGUGUAGGCGGCCAAGCAAGUCAGGUGUGAAAGCCCUCGGCUUAACCGAGGAAGUGCGCCUGAAACUACUUGGCUUGAGUACCGGAGAGGAUGGUGGAAUUCCCGGUGUAGAGGUGAAAUUCGUAGAUAUCGGGAGGAACACCAGCGGCGAAGGCGACCAUCUGGACGGAUACUGACGCUGAGACGCGAAAGCGUGGGGAGCAAACAGGAUUAGAUACCCUGGUAGUCCACGCUGUAAACGAUGAGCGCUAGGUGUUGCGGGUGUUGACCCCUGCAGUGCCGCAGCUAACGCAUUAAGCGCUCCGCCUGGGAAGUACGGCCGCAAGGCUAAAACUCAAAGGAAUUGACGG